rnacentral:lncRNA from 1 species
UGUAUGGGACUGGCAUUCUCCGGAGGAGGUGUCCUUGGGACUGCAGCUAAGCAGCGCUGUGUCUGAAUGCAGAACUGGAGUAUUCCUUGAGCAUGUUUUCCCUGUCAUCUCCACUGACCGUGACAGCAUGCAGGCUGUGGGGCUGCAGGACCAACCCUCAGGGAACAAAGUAGGCUCCCUCAGUCCUUGGCAGAGGGAUUCUCCUCGGCCUCCUCUGCGCCAUCUGCUGUGGAGAUCUCAAUCCCAGAGAGACCUUGCAGCUCCAGUGUGGAGGAGAGUACCGCGAUCUUCCACCCCCACCGAUUCGGCGGCGAGGACAGGGCUGCAAUUUCUAUCUCCAAUGGACCGGACAGCGACAGCGUGGAGGACAGCGUCUCAAUAGCUGUCACCGAGGCACCUGGCAGGGACAGCACCGAAGGCAGCAUCGCAGUCUCCAUCGCUGAAGGUCUGGACACCGACAGCUCUGAGGACAGCGUCGUGAUCUCCUUCUCCGAUGGACCGUACGGCGACAGCGCCCAGGUCAGCCUCAGGCUCUCCAUCCCCCGGAACCCAGCAGCAACAGCGCGGACUGAGGAAACAGCACGGAGGCGGCGGAGAACCGAGCAGCGUGGCCUGGGGCUCGGUCUGCAAGGGGCGGGCUUGGCUGCGCCCCCGUGGUCCUUUCCGUGCGGGGAGCACGUUCGCCUGGCUCGGGUUUCCCUUUUCCUUUAACCGGAACCGGUUCUGAGCCGGGAGUUCGCGGGGUUUCCGUGGUCACGCGUACCCCUUCAACGGGUGUGGAAACUGGCGUCUUCCCGCGUCCCCCGCGUGGCCCGCUGAAGAGGUCACCGGCUUUUGUCCCCGCUCAGAGCCGCGGCUGGGUGACACAUGGCCUCGCAAGAGCCUGCUCGCCCCCGGGCUGCGGGCCACCUUCACCAGCCCAACCUGGGAGGCUGUGCUGCUGGGCAGAGAUGGCAGUGCUGACCUGCGGUGCUGGUGGCCGCGCCGCACAGCGCCUGAUCCCAAGGCGU